rnacentral:rRNA from 1 species
GAUGAACGCUGGCGGCGUGCUUAACACAUGCAAGUCGAACGGUGAAGCAGAGCUUGCUCUGUGGAUCAGUGGCGAACGGGUGAGUAACACGUGAGCAACCUGCCCCUGACUCUGGGAUAAGCGCUGGAAACGGCGUCUAAUACUGGAUAUGAGCUGCGACCGCAUGGUCAGCAGUUGGAAAGAUUUUUCGGUCUGGGAUGGGCUCACGGCCUAUCAGCUUGUUGGUGAGGUAAUGGCUCACCAAGGCGUCGACGGGUAGCCGGCCUGAGAGGGUGACCGGCCACACUGGGACUGAGGCACGGCCCAGAAUCCUACGGGAGGCAGCAGGGGGGAAUAUUGCACAAUGGGCGAAAGCCUGAUGCAGCAACGCCGCGUGAGGGAUGACGGCCUUCGGGUUGUAAACCUCUUUUAGCAGGGAAGAAGCGAAAGUGACGGUACCUGCAGAAAAAGCGCCGGCUAACUACGUG